GUUCUGCUGCUGCUUCAUUUCGAAGAUCAUUCAUCCUAGAAAUCCUCCAAAAUGGUGGUCUUCAGGUUCUCUAUUUCCCAGAGCUCCUCCCUACCACAUUUGGUUGACCGACAAGGAAGAAGAAAACAAAAUUUGCCCCUUCGAAGAUGGGCUUUCUCACUAGAGAUAUAUAUAUAUAUAUCUUCUCGAAGGAGUGCUUGUUGUCCUCUUCUUGCCAUAACUGUCGGUCCUCUUCGUGCCGUAACGCUGUGAAAAUUUGGCAUCCAAAGCUCUGCUCUUGAAAAUCCUGAAUGUGAAGGCAUAUCUGAGGCGAGGAACACCUAGAGAAUCACUUCUCUUUUAUAAAGAGUCUCUUCAAGAUUUCAGGCAUGCUCUUGUCCUAGAACCGCAGAACAAGGUUGCCAAUCUUGCGGAAAAGCGGCUAAGGAAACUUACAAGCUGAAUCCCCUGCCCGCUCCCACUGGAAAAAAAAAAA